GAUGAACGCUGGCGGCGUGCCUAAUACAUGCAAGUCGAGCGAGAAGCUUGGAAAUGACGCUUCGGUUGAUUUUCCAAGCGGACAGCGGCGGACGGGUGAGUAACGCGUAGGCAACCUGCCCCUGACAGAGGGAUAGCCAUUGGAAACGAUGAUUAAAACCUCAUGACACCGUAGUAGCACAUGCUACAUCGGUCAAAGAUUUAUCGGUCGGGGAUGGGCCUGCGUCUGAUUAACUGGUUGGUGAGGUAACGGCUCACCAAGGUGACGAUCAGUAGCCGACCUGAGAGGGUGAUCGGCCACAUUGGAACUGAGACACGGUCCAAACUUCUACGGAAGGCAGCAGUAGGGAAUCUUGCACAAUGGGCGAAAGCCUGAUGCAGCAACGCCGCGUGAAGGAUGAAGGCCUUCGGGUUGUAAACUUCUGUUCUAAGGGAAAGAAAAGA
rnacentral:rRNA from 1 species